rnacentral:lncRNA from 1 species
CUACUUUCUCUUCUCUCCUACAUCGAUAUGUUUUUUGCCCUGGUGAUAAAAGAUUCCAGUGACGCUCAGAUCUGGUCGUUAUAACCGUGAUAACGAGGCUUCGAUCUGUAUCUCUGGUGUAGAGCCGAGUUGAUAAGGGCAGGGGAGGUUUGUAAGGGGUCGGAUUUUAGGUUGGCUUAGGGUUUGGAGUUCAAAUUUUCUCCUGUUGGUGAGUUUCAAACCCUAGCGGAGGCGGUGCGUGAGGCUGGGCAUUGGUGGCUCUGUUGCUCUCUAGGAUGAUAGGAGUAACGUCCGGUCUUUCCUGUCACAUGUCCUUCGUUUAUGCUGCUCUUUUAGCUCGAUCUUAGACUUUUAUGGUCUGGAUUUUAUUUUGGAAAAGAGGUCAGAUUGCUUCGUCUCCCUCUCAGCUUGCUCGGGAUGCUGUGCUAGUUUCGAAAUUGUUUUCUGGUGCGCGGUGAAAGACUAAACCGACUCUGAUGUAGGUUAUUACUUCUCCCAUCGAAAUUGGUAUGGUGAUUUUCAGGCGGGUCUCAGGUUAUUGGGUAUUUUUGGCCUAUGUUUCAGAUUCUUCAGUACUUUUGUCGAUGGAUCCCAAAGCUUUGGCGGGUCUUGUCUAGCUUUGUUUUGGUCGAGGUUGGACUGUGGUCAUGCAGUCUAUGAUUAGUUGGAGCUUGCUUGGUUUGGAGGCAUUGUUGGAUAGUGGCUAAUUAGGAUUUUUGGGAUGGUUAUCCAAUAUGUGAUCCUUAGCUUUGUUUUGUGUCCUAUAUAGUGACACGUUGUCUUUGGGGUUCUAUUGUCGGUUUGACUUGUUGCUCGACCUCUGAUUUGAUUGUUCGAUGUUUAGUGUGAAGGUUCGAUUAGCAGAAGCUGUGCUGUCCCUUGGUUUUUAACCGACGGGUUUUCCGGAUUUCUUAGUAAGGAACUGUGGAGCUUUUGCUCAAUUGUGUUCAGUCUUUGAGUAGUUGAUUGUCAACCGUCUUCUCCUUCGUUGACUGCUCGGGGUGUUGGAUACGUUAUCUCGUGGCUUCCUUGAGUUGAAGCUUUUUCUCGAGUGGCGAUGUCUCAUGUUCUUGGAGCUCUUAUCUCAUCUCAAAUAAUUUGGAUCGUUAACGCUUUUCUCGCUCAUCCUUUCUUCCAUUAUUGUCCGGCUUUGCAUCUCUAAUGAUUAUUUGUAUGCUUCAAAAGAUUUUAGUGAUCGCCUCCUCGCCCUGUUUAUGUUUAGUUAUGUUUUUUAGACUUGAUUCCGAAAAGUUGUGUUUACCUUGUCGGCUUAUGGCUCUGGAAGGGUUUUGUACCUUUGCCGGC